CAUAACAGCACACACAUCAUGAGCGUCCUAGAGGAGAGGUGAAAGAAAGGGACAGAAAAUAUAUUUGAAGAAAUAAUGGCCAAAAACUUACAUCCAAGAAGCUCAAAAGAUGUAUGUUGGAUAAACUUAAAAAAGAUCACAUCUAGACACAUCAUAAUCAAAUUGUCAAAAGUCAAAGAACUGCUAACAGGACUGGGCAGAGACAGGAGAAAGAAAUGAGUCAAUUGUAAAGAUAUCUGGAUUGAAGAAAAAAGACUCAGGGAAGAAGAAAGAUUCUUCCUGCACAGCAAUGUUAUCCAAACAGCAGCGUUCUCAGAUUGUCUGGUAGUGGAGGACAUCCCAUAAACAGCCUCCGGUAAAGAGAAGGUCGACUAUGGAGGCAGCCGCCGCAGCAGCAAACCGCCAUGCUUCUCUGAGACACCAACAAGAGCCAAGGCACAUGCUAGACGAGAAUCAAAGGAAUUAACAAUCUUCUGAGCCUGAGGGUCUGUUAUCCCAGCUGGAGGAGGAAGUGACACUACUAUGGUAGGCUCUUCUGUCAGCUUUUUCCUUGAUGAAUCGGACUUCAUGUUUACUAAUGACAUUCAGAGAGUGUACUCACUGUUUGUGGAUAGCACCAAGUGGGUGGACUGUCAACCACAUUUGGAGAGUGUCACUGCAAUUCAAAACAAUCCUGACAACUUGAAGAUGUGGGCAGAUAUAAA